AUGGAACAGUGAACAUCUGGAAUUUGAAAAUUGCACAGUAUGCAAUGCGCAGUUCUAUUAUUACAUAUUGCUACCAUCACAUAUUACGUUAAACUGUUAGUAUACCGAAUUACAGUAAUUAGUUUUAUUUCUAUCAUAACCAUGUGAAUAUCAAAAUCGGUACCGGUAAACAUAAUAAUGAAUUCCGGGUGUCCCAAGUUAGUUGUUAUUUAAGGAUGCCAUUGUAGAAGCAGACAAAGAAGACACUGAAGAAGAGCAGCAUCGUUUGGAAUUGAUUCAAGGCGGUGAUAUUUCAGGAGAUAGAGUGUCGUCGCACACCUUCACCAGUAAUCCUGGGCAAUAUCGGAGUAAGGGGCGGGCGUAGGCAGCGUCAGCAAUCUUACGGCAACCCAACUUCACCAGGAGUUCUAGCAGAAAGUUUCCGGGUGCCUAUAUACUAUACAAUAUGGCUACCGCACGCCUACAGGAGCAGGGAUCAGGCAUAAGCCUGAGUAACGUAUUCAUCGACAAAGCUGCCAGAGCAGCAUCCACUUUUUUCUGGCGGUGCUUGGAGUUGACCUGCUUGCGCCGUUCGAGAAUAUCGUUCUCGGGUCCAGAUCGAAAUUAGCGGUCCUGUCAGACCCAGCCACCGUGUCCAUUCGAUCCGGCGUAAAUCUACCUCUGCAGGACUGACAAGCCUGGAUCCUCGUGCCGUAAGGAACCUACUCGUUAUUACCAACUACCUUCCUCCAAGUAAUGUGAAUGCUCAAUGGCACGCAUUCGGCUGGCUUUGUACUUAUUACUAUGCUAUUGUAAUGGGCCUGUGAAUGAGAUCCUGUAGUGAUGAAUACGAGUGGUACUGUGAUAAGAACAACGUAUGAACAAGGUAAUCUAAGAACUGUCAAAAAACGGUAUUUUGGACAUUCUCUGCUGAAUGGAAUUGCUUUGUAUAAUGAAAGGAGCCCAGUUGUCUAAUUUAUAUGGGAGACACUUUACUGGUCGACAUACCUGAAUAUGUAUACAUUUGUCUCCAAAGGCAGUAGCAGUCUACAGCUAUAUAGAUAUAUAUUUCUAUACUUACGUAUACACGUGUACAGUUACCUGAGAAUAGGUAAGUGGAAAUCUGAAUGUAGCUGGUCUUGUACAUUGUAACCAGUCAAGAAUGGCAACGCUCUUCACACUUUAUUAGGUGUCGAGUCGCCACUUAAGUUCGAGGAUUUUCGAAAUUGGGUCACUUGAUAGAGGCUGUCCGUACCAGAGAUGCUGUGAUUUACAUUUUUCGAAUGCGAGUACGAAAUUAUUAUUCUGGACUAUCUUCGGACGUCUUCCCAAUUUCCGACUGACGCUGCUACUGAAAACCCGAUUAAUUUCGUCGGGGCACCUUCGUAAAAUUCGUAAUUAGCCUUCAUUAUUCCGCGGCCCUAGUGAAAUUGCUUGCCGACGUCGGAUGCCUGACUGCGAGACCGAAGGCGCUCCGGAAGUUUUACCGAAGAUAAAUAGAAGUUUUCCACCGCAGCCGAGGAAACGCGCGUCGCCGGCUAAAUUAAGUAUAUAAGGACAAUCCAGAGAUUCAUGCGUAGAUCGCUGUCCGAUAGUAUCGGGAUGGUAUGGAUUCGUUCAGUGAUUGCUGUGGAUUUCCGUAUGGAAAUAAUUUUGCGACCGCUGCCGGAAAACAUUGUUCGGUUAUACAAUAGAAAACGAAAAAAAAUAUAGUCCCCUCUUUGUCGACUGGGUGGACCUAUGCUGGCUGAACGUAAAAUUCGACGGAUGUUCCACGAUAUUCGUUAUAGAGUUAUCCAAAGUGUCUGCACCAGCAGGGGUUAACCAGUAAUCGCAGCUUCGAAGUAAACAAAUCAAAGUUUGGACCGUUCGUGUAAGCAAGCCGCGUUUUCACGAAACGUUUAGAGGCACUGCGUCUUCACGGCGACGCCAACGUCGUCCGGGUCGUUCGCGUUACUCAAUGAUUUCAAUCCUUGGAUAUUGGACUUCUAUCGCAAAGUAUCAUUGGACUGCAGUGUGAAGUUAUCAGUUCUCUUAGUUCCGAUACCACUCGCUAGGUGUGCCCUAUAAACAGGCGGGAAAUUUGAAACGAUAAAAAUUCCAAAUGCAUUCCCUGAACGAGGGUAAAUCUAGAAGGUGUCUCAUCUAUAUGAAGUAUUUGGAUUGAGGUAGUAGGUAGGUAGGGUUGGUACCUAACAGAGGGUAGAAAAGCAAUAAUUGAUCUUAUGCUAAUAUUACAAGUGAGUUAUGAAAGGUUCGUGCCGAAUAGGAUAAUUUGUUUUCACGUUAUAACGUCAGACCCGUUCCACCAGCACGUGAGUCCUAGGGAAGCUAAUGGCCAGAGCCUAGAAGGUUAGGAGUUACACUUUGCUCAUACAGAAACCCAGUGACGCAUUUCGAAGCGUUGAGGGUUGAAAAUUGUACUUUACAUCUCUAGCCUUGUAUUUAGAACCAACUCAUCCAUUAUACAGCUGGUAUAUUCACAUCUCUAUAUGCAAACUCCAGACUCCUAAUCAGCCGUUUUGCGCCACUGGCAGCAACUGCCAGAGGGUGAGUGGAUGACCGAGAGCGUACCGUGAUUAGGGGGGUUGCACCGCUGCAGACGAGGGAUUUGAGGUUAGAGGAUUUGUACUACAAAUACGACAUGUGGACAGAGCGACCGUACGACCGUUAUUCCCAAGACCGUUACCUAUAGGUAUAUUCAUCCCUCGCCAAACUUCAUGCCGCUCAUUGAGAACCGCCUCAUGGAGAAACUUCAACCCCCUGCGAGCUGUCCUCGUCACAACUGCACAACUACCAAACUGCAUCACUGCAACCAAGAAUCUCGGAUGGUAGCGUCAAGGAGUCUUUUAGAACCUAGAUAGGCAACCCCAUGAGAUUUUCUGGUAACACGAAUCCUCUUGGUUAGCUCAGUCGAUAAUUUAAUUGAUACUUUUAUUUUGUAUUUUCGAUUGUCCAAUAAUUAUAUAGAAAUUUA